rnacentral:lncRNA from 1 species
CUGACUUCAGAUGAUCUGUUCACCUUGGUCUCCCAAAGUGCUGGGAUUAAAGGUGUGAGCCACUGUGCCCAGCCCAGUAUUUUUUUGUUUGUUUUUAUUGAGAUGGAGUCCCGCCCCAUUGCCCAGGCUAGAGUGCAGUGGCGUGAUCUCAGUACACUGCAACCUCCACUUCCCAGGUUCAAGCGAUUCUCCUGCCUCAGCCUCCUGAGCAGUUGGGAUUACAGGCGCGCACCUCCACACCUGGCUUACUUUUGUAUUUUUAGUAGAGACGGGGUUUCACCAUGUUGGCCAGGCUGGUCUCCAAUUCCUGACCCCAAGGGAUCCACCUUAGGCCUGGCCGCCAACAUUCUGAACCUUGUCUUUUCUCUGUCAUGUAUUCAGAGUCCACGCUGGAAACUCCAAUUUCAGGUCCCUUCAGUUUUCUGUCCGUUGUCUUUCGUUCUUUGUCCACGUUGCCCGUCCCUUGUGAACUGGAUGCUGUGUGUGAGCAACAGGGACUGAAAAGCUCAGUGCAGUGCCCUCGCUCCCCUCCCCUGCCUCCCUCCCCUGCCUCCCUCCCCGCCCCCACCUCCCUCGCUCCCCUUCCCCCGCGCUCCCCACCCCCGCCUCCCGCGCUUCCCGUCCCCCGCCUCCCUCACUCCCCGCCCCUCUGCUGUGAGGACACAGCCUGAGCGCAGCCCUGUCCUCCACAGGUAGAUGAUGAGCUGGAGAUCAAGGCCUACUAUGCAGGCCACGUGCUGGGGGCAGCCAUGUUCCAGAUUAAAGUGGGCUCAGAGUCUGUGGUCUACACGGGUGAUUAUAACAUGACCCCAGACCGACACUUAGGGUAAGUAGGCUGAGGUGUCUUUUUGUCCCGUGGGCCCCCCUGGAGCUCAGGACCCUUGCAGGCGUCAGGGUGCCAGCCCUUGAGUGGCCAGCCUGGCAGCGUCUCCCAUGUCCUGUGCGGCCUGGAGAGCCCCCUUCGUUCUGGGCCCAAAUGCGCGAAGGCACAGGGUCCAGGCGGGGGCCUCAGUCCCUCCUUCUCUCUCUUCCCAAGUGUCUGGGUGGGUGCCUCUGUCUCGCUCUUCCGAAGUGUCUGGGUGGGUGCCUCUGUCUCUCCUCUCUCUUCCCAAGUGUGCUGCCCACAGCAUUUUACCAGCUGGCUCUUUCCAGCCAGAGUGACCUAGGAAGGCGGCUGGGCGUGGUACUGGGGUCCAGCUUGUCACACCCAGCCCUGCAACUGUGGGGACAGUGCAUCGUGGCUCACACCCCCACCCCCGUGUUCCAGAGCUGCCUGGAUUGACAAGUGCCGCCCCAACCUGCUCAUCACAGAGUCCACGUACGCCACGACCAUCCGUGACUCCAAGCGCUGCCGGGAGCGAGACUUCCUGAAGAAAGUCCACGAGACCGUGGAGCGUGGUGGGAAGGUGCUGAUACCUGUGUUCGCGCUGGGCCGCGCCCAGGAGCUCUGCAUCCUCCUGGAGACCUUCUGGGAGCGCAUGAACCUGAAGGUGCCCAUCUACUUCUCCACGGGGCUGACCGAGAAGGCCAACCACUACUACAAGCUGUUCAUCCCCUGGACCAACCAGAAGAUCCACAAGACUUUCGUGCAGAGGAACAUGUUUA